GGCUCUUUUUUCGCCUCUAAUUCACUGGCAAGAGGGAGGACCAAAAUGAAAGGAUGAAAUGGCAAGUCUGGAUCUUCCCUGGGACCAGCAAAUUACAAAUUUACCCUUCUGCGCCCAAGGCUCCGUCCCGGCGCCUGGAGAGAGCUAGUUCUGGAUGUUAGUUAAUUGGCCCCCUGAACUUCGAGCUUAGCGGUUGCCCAGGACACCCGAGGCCAGAGAGGGAAGAACUCUGCUACUCGACUAGAGGAAGCGUGGCGUUCUGUAACACUCGUGUAGAGGGGAGGGAAUGAAUAGCGACUCUCCGUGUGGACGGCAGUAAAAAGUAGUGGAGCAUGGGCUCUGCAUUCAGAGUGGCGCCCUUUCGGAUCCAGAUUCCUCCACUGCACAGCACUAAAGUCAUCUUGGGUAUCUUCCCUUUUCUCUCUCUCUCUUCAAUCUCCCUAUUUAUAAAAUAGGGAUAAUAGCCUCGUGGAUGUCUAGGAGAUUAAACGAACUGGAAAAGAGGGGACCACCAGAGCCCUGGAAGAGUUGCUCCUUAAACCUGUGUGGAGAAGUGGAUCCAUAAGUUGCUGUUCCAGUUUGCUAAUGCUGCCUUUAUGCAAAAUACAAGAAAUGGAUUGGCUUUUA